rnacentral:rRNA from 1 species
CCGGCGACCGGCGCACGGGUGCGUAACGCGUAUGUAACCUACCUAUAACAGGGGCAUAACACUGAGAAAUUGGUACUAAUUCCCCAUAAUAUUCGGAGAGGCAUCUCUCCGGGUUGAAAACUCCGGUGGUUAUAGAUGGACAUGCGUUGUAUUAGCUAGUUGGUGAGGUAACGGCUCACCAAGGCAACGAUACAUAGGGGGACUGAGAGGUUAAUCCCCCACAUUGGUACUGAGACACGGACCAA